GCCUCGAUGGCGCAGCAGGCAGCGCGUGAGUCUCAUAAUCUCAAGGUCGUGAGUUCGAUCCUCACUCGGGGCA
rnacentral:tRNA from 2 species